AACGAACGCUGGCGGCAUGCCUAACACAUGCAAGUCGAACGAGACCUUCGGGUCUGGUGGCGCACGGGUGCGUAACGCGUGGGAACCUGCCCUUAGGUUCGGAAUAACUCCCCGAAAGGGGUGCUAAUACCGGAUAAUUUCUUCGGACCAAAGAUUUAUCGCCUUUGGAUGGGCCCGCGUUGGAUUAGCUAGUUGGUAGGGUAAAAGCCUACCAAGGCGACGAUCCAUAGCUGGUCUGAGAGGAUGAUCAGCCACACUGGGACUGAGACACGGCCCAGACUCCUACGGGAGGCAGCAGUGGGGAAUAUUGGACAAUGGGCGAAAGCCUGAUCCAGCAAUGCCGCGUGAGUGAUGAAGGCCUUAGGGUUGUAAAGCUCUUUUACCCGGGAUGAUAAUGACAGUACCGGGAGAAUAAGCUCCGGCUAACUCCGUG
rnacentral:rRNA from 1 species